UACGUAGGGCGCAAGCGUUAUCCGGAAUUAUUGGGCGUAAAGAGCUCGUAGGCGGCUUGUCACGUCGGUUGUGAAAGCCCGGGGCUUAACCCCGGGUCUGCAGUCGAUACGGGCAGGCUAGAGUGUGGUAGGGGAGAUCGGAAUUCCUGGUGUAGCGGUGAAAUGCGCAGAUAUCAGGAGGAACACCGGUGGCGAAGGCGGAUCUCUGGGCCAUUACUGACGCUGAGGAGCGAAAGCGUGGGGAGCAAACGGG
rnacentral:rRNA from 1 species